CUACGGGAGGCAGCAGUGAGGAAUAUUGCACAAUGGGCGAAAGCCUGAUGCAGCAACGCCGCGUGCGGGACGAAGGCCUUCGGGUUGUAAACCGCUUUUCUGAGGGACGAGCAAGGACGGUACCUCAGGAAUAAGUCUCGGCUAACUACGUGCCAGCAGCCGCGGUAAAACGUAGGAGGCGAGCGUUAUCCGGAUUUACUGGGCGUAAAGCGCACGCAGGUGGCCGUGCAAGUCGGACAUGAAAGCUCCCGGCUUAACUGGGAGAGGUGGUUCGAAACUGCAUAGCUUGAGGUUGGGAGAGGGACGUGGAAUUCCCGGUGUAGUGGUGGAAUGCGUAGAUAUCGGGAGGAACACCAGUGGCGCAAGCGGCGUCCUGGCCCACACCUGACGCUGAGGUGCGAAAGCGUGGGUAGCAAACAGGAUUAGAUACCCGUGUAGUCCA
rnacentral:rRNA from 1 species